GGAAGAGCAGACAGUCCAAAUCAAAGGACAGCCCCACAGCACAGACUGUGGUCAUGCCACAGGACUCUGAAAUGGCAGGGCAGGGUCUCCUGGCUGGGUCACCCACUCCUGCACAGACUCCCAGGUGCUAGCACCACCGGCACAUGGCCCACCUACCCUUCCUGAUGCAGACUCCCGCAGCACAGUGCCCCAAAGUGACCCAUCUUUAAAACAUCUUGGUGUCCUUGGUUUUCAUUAACUUAAUACAGUAAUUAAAAUAAAA